GAGAGUAGGAUCGAUGACUGGGACGAAGUCGUAACAAGGUAGCUGUACCGGAAGGUGCGGCUGGAUCACCUCCUUUCUAAGGAGCA
rnacentral:rRNA from 1 species